rnacentral:misc_RNA from 1 species
GGCGAUGACGUCACGGCCCUGGGUGAUGGGGACGACGGCGCGCUGCUGGAUGGCGGAGGGCUUCUCGAAGCCAUACUGGUAGAUCCCGCGGAGGAGGUCGUCGUGGAUUCCCAUCUGGUCGAAGCUGGUGACAGGCUCGACGCCGGGGCUGGUCUCGAAGACGAGGUUCUCGUCCUCAACGCCGCGCGGCUGCUGCCCGCGGUUGCGGGGGAUCACCGCCGCCGUCGCCGCCAUCGGAGGAGAGGGGAGGGGAAUUUAGGGAUUUGGGGGAGUUGUGC